GGCCAGUUCCGCCCGGGGGUGGCAACGGUCUGCAAAACCGUUUGGGACGGGUUCGACUCCCGUACUGGCCU
rnacentral:tRNA from 1 species